CAAGGUGCAUAUGUGUGUGUUGUCGGGAGCAUUAAGCCUUUCCCGUAUCGUGCCGCUACUCCCUGGUGGAGAGAGAGGCCUUCUCACUCUUCUUCCUGGCCUGGACUUAGAGCUGACCAACACAAAGCUCAGACCAGUGCUGAUGCUGUGCUGGAGAAAGAGUGGGAACAAGCAGGACUGAGUAAGUAAAGAGAAAAUCCAAUGCUAGCUAAAGGAGAAGAGAGCAGAUUAAUUGAGAUAACUACAGUCUGUUGAAUGGUGUGCUUCAAAUCUUGCAAGAUAAUCAAAUCCAGCUUCUCCCAUUACUUCAAGCUGUGAGAGGUCUUCCAACGAAGAAGCCAAAUCACCCGAGGUGGUGUGAAUUUUGACAUCAUGAAAUUGGGAUACCCAAACAGGGAGAGGUGCCAUUGUGGUACCAUCUUAGUUAAUGGCCUACUGGACUUCUCUGGAUCCUGCCUAUCAAGUCAUAUAUAUCUAAGGGAUUGCGAGGCAGCUGUGUAAUCAAGCCUGUGAACUCUACAUCUAAAAGGAGGUUUCUCUUCUGAACACAGUCCUACUGAAGUCCAUCCAUUUCCAGAACAUGGGUUUCCUCCACUGCUCUCGGCCACAGCUCCACUUGUCUCACCAGCAUCUUCUUGAUUCUGGCUGUCACCUAGCAAAACAGCAGCAGCCUACAGCAGCCAGAACACUGAAGCCAUCAAGCCAUUAGUGAGUCCCAGCGCUGAUAAUGAAACCUCGGAGGUGGUCUGAACCAGUGUGGUAGCGGAGCUGGAGCACAAGAGGAAGGUGUCACCCACAUCCUUGGCUGGUGUUUAUUUGUUGUGUGUACAGCUUUGGUUUAGGACCUCACACAUACUACACAGAUGCCUAAAACAUCACCGCUCUCACUUUGAAGAUCCUAUGAGGUCAGGUUUUAAAUUAUGGUCUGAACCCACACCAGGUAUUCCCACUGCACUCCUGUAAAUCCAUUUUUCACACAAUGCAUUUCAAAUCAAAGCAACGUCACCGUAACACGCCUUAGGAAACAUUAAGCCAUAGUGGGCUACUUUCAUGUAAGAUAGCAUAGCCUCUGUAUGCUUUGAUGUGCUCUCUUUUUUAAUGCUUUAUUAAUAAUAACACACUGGCUUCUUCUCACAUCACCACCAGCUUCUGGGACUGCUUUUUCUCCGUCUGAACCACAUCCCUCACCCCAUCCAAGCCACGACUGCUUUAUCCCUCCCUAGCCCCUCAGCUCUUUCACAGGAUUGGCCUGUUUGUGUUCAGGAGGGGGAUUAUAGGGAACAGCAAGGGUCUUGAGAUGAAGGGAAUGACGGAGGCCUAUCAGAGGGCAGGAAGUACACAACACUUCCACGUCAUUGGCUGCGGAGGAAAUCAAACACAUCAUAAUUUCUUCAAACCGUUCCUUCUCUGAGUGUCAAGCUUUUAUUUCCUUGCCUAAAGAGAAGGAGUGUUGAAGGGUUGGGGAGGUGGAUCGGAAUUGGAGUGACUGUCAGUGAGUUUAAGUGUGUUCUGGCUCCUGUUUACAGGUUCGUAAACACAGAUGUAACCGGCGAUGAACAUGUAGACACUGAUAGCGCUCACCUCCUCCGCUUGUGGCCAAAAUACAAGGCAGCCUUCACAUUUCUAGUGCUGUACAGGAUAAAAGAUAUGAAUGGGAUGUCUGAUUCAUGCAUGAAUUUAACAUUUUUCUCAAAUUCAUAUAUUUAUCCAUGCUGGGGUGACUUUAAAAUACGUGGCAAAAGAUCAUGAAAUGGGACACUCAGUGUGAAUAAUAUUAAAACAGUGGAUGGGUGUUUUACUAAUCCCAAAUUCCUUCUUUCUGGCCACCAGGUAUUAUAAUUAAUGGUAAAUCUAAAUAUUUACACAGAUAGCUCCUGUAUGCUGAUUUUUAAGCUUUUUUUUAUAUCUAAAGAAUGAUUUUAGAACUCCCUUUAUAAGCAGAGUUUAACAUUUCUAAAGGACAAUUCAUUGAAAUAAUGUCACUGUAGUCAGUUCUCUAUAUAAGGUAGUUGUAAGAAGCCCCUUUUCAUAUGUUAAACUACAGAUUAGAUUUGGUGCAAUUAAAGGUCCUAAGCUUUAUUCAUUAUAAUUUUUUGUUUUUGCUUCGACUUGAAAUAAAGGUUUUCAAGAAUUAGAAUGCGAAGAUUUCUUAAACAUUACCAACUUGAUCGAAGUAUCUUGUGUGAAAAUAAUAGUUUGGAGAGAGAGAGAGACUGGGAUGUUCUAUUCUUUUGGAAAUAAACUCCCUUUAGUUGUUUAGAUCCAUUUUGGUUGGACUAAUGUAACUAAUGUAAAAGGCAACAUGCAGAUUGACAAAUACUUUUCAUGGAACAUCAAAAAACUCAUAAACAUGAUGGUAGAGAGCUGAAUCAAGAACGUUCUGAACUGCAAUAUUUAUAUAAAAAGUAAAAUGUUUUUGGCCCGAACACACAACCCUAAUGUGUACUUUUUCUCAGAGCAGGAAAGACCACUGGCAAGGACAAACUGCAUAUAGAAGAAAAGAUAAUUGAAAAACAUAUUCUAUUCUCCGUCUGAAAGGGCUUUUUCGGAAACCUGAUUUAAAAUUUUAUUUUCACAUGCUUUUCACACAUGUAUAAAAUGUAAUACAGAUUCAGACAAAAAGAUGCAUACUGCUCUGUAUGUUUGUACAAACUAUGCUGUUAUCAAUAUUUGACAGCAGUAAGAAGUGCAAGUCCUUUACUAAAGCUAACCAAAUAAACAGGAGGCAUUCAGUUUACUUCGGCUUUAAAGUGACUCGGAGCUGUGGGCUCAAGCACCAGCCGACUUUCUCCUCUUUGUCCAUAAUAGAUCUGAGUGGUCUGAGGGUCCUCUGGGGGCACCUGGCUCUCUUCCCUGCCAUCGCUGGCUAAAUUGAUCGCUGAGGCCAUCUCUGUGCAGAGAUCAGGGGUCGGCUUCAAAGGCCUCCUGCCCACUUCCUGCCACCUGGUGUUCCAUAUCGGACAACCUGUAUGUUUCUUUCUCAGCCCCCACCCUUCGGUACCCUUCUACGAACAGGUUAAGGACAUGGAGCCAGUACAGCUCCUCCCUGUGAUCUCCUGCUGCCUCCUCCCAAGCCACCCACAUGCAGAGAGAGGGUGAGAGAUCAGUCCCACACAAACAUAGCAUAAUCACUCCACCAUUUGAUGUGAAAAUCUGCUUUUGAUUUAAUUAUAGCCUGCAAAUGCAUAACUGUCUACAAUGAAAAGAUUUGACAAUUUUUGGCCAGAGUUACAUUUUCUUCUCUAUGGUGCUGGUAGGUGUCAUAUGACCGUGACUCUCUUAUCUAGAAUGUUUUCCUUUCCAUGAGUACAUUCAACAAUUUCCUUAUUUCGGUUAAUAAAAUAAUGACAUCAAAAACAAAAAUUAUUCAUGGCAUGCAUUUUAAUCACAUUAUGAAAUGUGAACAUCUUCCCCACAUUUUAACAGAUCAAGUUAAGUAAAGCAAAUAACCCGUUUACACCAAUCACUCAUAAGAUUAUGAGCAAUGCCAGGUGGAGUGAGUAAUAUCUUGCUCUAACAGAAUGUUAAACAGCAGAGAAAACCAUUCAAAUACAUGCUAUUUUGACAUUUACCAAAGAAGUAAACAGUUUUGAAGACUAUUCAUUCCCCCCCCAACACAUCUCCUUCCCAGUGGGUCCUUUAAAAGCUGCUUACAAAAAUGGCUUAAAGAACAUGACAGCAGAUCUUAAGGGUUUACCGAGCUUCCAAAAUCCCCAGAUUCCAACCAGAUACAUUUGAUGGUAUCUAAUAGCAUCUGUAAGACAGCUUAAUCCAUAAGAAGUGCAUACCUUAACCCAGAGGUGUCAGGGAAGUAAAAAAAAAAAAAAAAAAAAUGCCACUGUCAAAUUUCAAAA